rnacentral:rRNA from 1 species
CCCUUAGAUGUUCUGGGCUGCACGCGCGCUACACUGAUGCGCUCAACGAGUUUAUGACCUUGCCCGGAAGGGUUGGGUAAUCUUCUUAAAACGCAUCGUGAUGGGGAUAGAUUAUUGCAAUUAUUAAUCUUCAACGAGGAAUUCCUAGUAAGCGCGAGUCAUCAGCUUGCAUUGAUUACGUCCCUGCCCUUUGUACACACCGCCCGUCGCUCCUACCGAUUGAAUGUUCCGAUGAAUACCAUGGACUGAGAGUAUGAAUGGGUUCGCCUAUUUCUGCUUCUCGGGAAGUGGAGUAAAUCCUAACAUUUAGAGGAAGGAGAAGUCGUAACA